CAUCAUAUUUUCCCAUGAUUUGUACUCUGUCGAUGUAGCAUCACUGUCCAACCAUCCUGCAAUUUUUGGCGUCUUCAACUUGUCAGUCUGGGACUUGUAUCUAUAAUAGUCAGAGUCACCGUACAACCUCAAUCAACCAAAAAAAAUUGCACCGUGAGAAACCCAGUAAUCUAAUACCACUUGAUAAGGGCACGACCUCGGACGCGCCGCUAAUUUGGCCCGAUCUUUCACGAUGCAACAACCGCGACUAAAUUUCACUGAUAAAGGUUUCCAAUUACGCGAGCGAUACUCGCAACCUGAAACUGUGGUAACAACAACUGACUAGCAAUACCUCGGCAAACAAGGCACCUCUCGUCGGCGUAGGCGUCACCAGCACGCAAUCCAUCGUCGCCGACGGACCUCAAGCCAAUAGCUAGCAAACUCUCGAUCACGAGAAUCCUCUCGCUAAAGUGUAAUUUUCUUGAUAGAAAAUCUCACAAUAAUAAACAAGAUGAACGCCCAGAGGGCCGCUUCAUAGUCUGUCUAACUCUAAAGAAAAAUAACCUAAUCCUUAAAGUCUCGAUAACAAAUAAUAUAUAUAGCCUAGGUACAAACCGACUCAGAUGGGUUCGGCCAAACAAGGCACGCAGGCCAUAUUACGUAUACGUACCUGAUUUAUUUUCCCCUGCGCGACUUGUAGUGCAACCGAAAUCCUGGCCGUUCUGAUCUGCUACCUUUGUUUUAAUUUUCCAAACGUACAUAGCUGGCUGAUUUGGAAACAUAUCUCCACGUACGUGCAGGCUCCUUCUCUUCCUAUUUUCUAGCACAUGCAGUUCGGGAGUUUGUAUGUUCCGUGAAACACAACUAAUAAAUCCGUUGCAUGUUGGCCUUUUCCUUUUUAUUCUCCAUGGCUUCCACGUCCGAUUAUUUCUCCAAAUGCGUGCAUGAUAUCCUGUUGCAUGUUGGUUAGGAAACAAACAACUAUUUCCUAUAGUUUUGUGCAUGCAGGAACUUGCAUGAACUCCUUUAAUCCAGCGUUGCUCUCACAUUUAACACGCACUCUUUCUUUAGGUGUAAUUGGCGUAAAUCCAGGACCACAUAGAAUACGCAAGGUUCCAUCUUUACCUUUGCUAAAAUGUGUCAUCUCCUCCAUAAUAUUCUGAUUCUCAUCUUGGUUAACUUUCUUUUCAACGUCCGCCUCAUCCACAUGCAUUGCCGUCCCCUCAUCCAUAAUAUCCUCCGUUUGUACCCCUUUGUUGACGACUGCCGAAGUCGCCUGCAACCCCUUGUCAUUGACCGACGUACUCAUCAUGACCUGUGUACUGGUCGUGUUUGCAGUAGGGCAUGCCACAUCACAUGUCCUAGGUGUCCGCAGACGGCGCACCAGUCCGGGAGGCGCUCAUAUUUGACUCGAUAAAUCUGGCGUUUUCCAUCGCGGAUCAUCGUCACAGCGUUCUUUAAAGGCUUGUGCACAUUGAUCCUCACCCACACUCGAUAAAAAUUUCCAGCAAAAUCCUGUGUCACGUUUUCUGUGAACAAGACCUCUCCAACCUUAGCAGCAAGCGGCGUCACAAGAUGAGCAUACAGGUCCGAGACGUCAUGAAUCUGAAUCCAGAUGUCUAGACUAUCCAACACUACCUCUGUCGGCUUGGUAAUCCCAUCAUAGGGCGUGAUGAUGACGGCGUUUCCUCUGAAGUUCCACGGCCCCUCUUGCAUCACACGCUUCCCAAUCACCAAGACAGAAAAACUGAAUUGUGUACAGAUUAUCCUCCAAAGGACGGAAUUUCACCUCAUGCGCCAGAUCCCAAGCGGCCCGCAUGUUCUUGAAGAACCAGUACCGGCUGUAGGGUUUAUCGAUGUGAACCCUAGCAACAGCCAUCCAUCUCGUCGCAUCCGGUGGCGCCGCCUUCUCAUCGAAGACGACAUCAUCCAGAUCCUCUUCCCGAAGGCCUAGUUCGGCCAUCAUCUUCUCAACUUCCGAUCCAGAGGUGGAACUCGAUGCCCCUGAAGCCUUCGAUCCCAUCGCCGCUGAAAACCUGAAACCCUAGCCCGAGAAAAACGAAUCGGGUUUGAAGCUGGCCCUAACUCUCCAACUCAACCACCAGAUGACGCGCCAAGGACGGGAAGUGAUGCUAGAUCACCCCUUAAUCAGCCCGAGCCAUCAUAAUCCGGGGGGGAAUCGGAGGAGGGGAGGUAAGAGCUCGACGACGGUUGGAUCGCCACCGGGAGAAAGCAAAACCCUAGCUAGAGGGAAAAAGGCCCUGGGAAGAAGCAACAUAAAAUGUUUCUGAUGUAUAUAAAUAAUGUUAAAUGCGUACUGAAAACCAAGAAAAAUUGAAAAAAAGAAAAGUAAACAAAGAACAAGAAAAACCAAAGAAAACCAAGAAAGAAACAGAAAAAAACUGAAUAGAAAAAGAAAGAAAAAACCAAUGAAAACCAGGGAGAAACAAAGAAAACCGGUAGGAGCCAUUAAAAAUAAUUGAAACGAUGAAAAAACAAAAACAACGGAGAAACGUAAAGAUAAACAAAAGAAAACAAAAAAUACUAAUAAAAAACUGGGGCAAACCGACCCAGCGAACAAAAAAAAACAGUAUAUGGGCCGGGCCAGUUUCUACAGGUGGGAGGGAAUCUUCAGGCGAGACUUUCUUCCGUCUCGCUUUGAGCCACAGAUAUAGCUCUCGCGAUAGUCGCCGCGCUAAACCACCACAGGGCCAAUAGAGUCUGCACUCUUUUCCUUCACGCGUCGAAAGGAAACAAAAUUUCCAACAAAAGAGGUUGGGGUCGUCGCGUCGGCGUUGCCCAAUCCUCUCCCAUCUCCCCCACCUCUCAUACUCCGCGCCGUUGCCGAUCUGGCCUCCAGUCAACUCCGGCGAGGUAAGAAUAUUUGUUCGUCCAAAUUCGUCUAGUCUAGGGUUUGUGCGGAAUUGUUCUUAUGCUUUCUGUCCCAAACUACCUACUCAGAUUGGAUUUGAUUGGAUUGAAGUUUACUGGACUGGAGCCGAUCCGAUCCGACCUGAUCGGACUCUGCUGGCAUCUAGCGAAGCUUGAGGAGGGGUCGCUCGCUGUCGCGGGCCACAGAUCUGCCGCGUCCGCCAUGGACGGCAACAAGGACGACGCUGUCAAGGCCCUGCGCAUAGGCAAGGACGCCCUCGACGCCGGCGAUACCGCCCGCGCCCUCAAGUUUCUGUCUAAGGCCAAGCGGCUGGACCCCUUGCUCCCCAUCGAUCACCUCCUCAACCCCCUCCUCAACAAGGAUGACCCGUCCUCCUCACCGGCCUCGUCAUCAUCGUCAUCUGCCCCACAUCCCCCACCGCCUCCGCCGUCGCGAGCUGCAUCAUCAGCAGCCGGUGCUGACGGCUUGAGGGAAAGGAAGCAGAAGGGCAAGAAGAAGGAUGGGGAGGAGGGCGGCGGUGAUACUGCUGGGGCGAGGAUGUACACGGAGGAGCAGCUGGAGGUGGUCCACCAGAUCAAGAAGCACACUAGGGAUUACUACAAGAUCCUGGGCCUCGAAAAGGACUGCACUGUUGAGGACGUGCGCAAGGCCUACCGCAAGCUCUCUCUCAAGGUGCACCCUGACAAGAACAAGGCCCCUGGUGCCGAGGAUGCCUUUAAGGCUGUCUCCAAGGCCUUCCAGUGCCUCAGCGAUGCAGAGAGCCGCAAGCGCUUCGAUCUUGUUGGUUCUGAUGAGCCGCCGGCAUACAACAGGAGGGCGGCAUCCACUGCCCGUUCAUACAAUGGGUUCUAUGAAGAUGACAUUGACCCGGAUGAGAUAUUCAGGAACUUUUUCUUUGGUGGGAUGGCUCCUGCCACCACCAGGCAGUUUGGGCAGUUUGGGACGUUCCAUUUCAGGACUGGCGGGAUGCAUCAUGCUCAUGGUGCGCAGCAGGGUUCUGGUGGCUCCACUGUCCGUAUGCUUGUUCAGCUCUUGCCUGUCCUGCUGCUUCUGUUGCUCAACUUCCUGCCAUCCUCUGAGCCAGUCUACUCCCUAUCCCGUUCCUACCCUUAUGAGUACAAAUUUCAAACCCAACGUGGAGUAACAUACUAUGUCAAGCUGCCUAAUUUUGAGGAUCAGUAUCCACACCAGAGCACUGAGCGUACAACACUGGAGCGGCAUGUUGAGAGGGAUUACUACUCGAUAAUAACACAGAAUUGUAGGGUUGAGCUGCAGCGUCGCCAAUGGGGGCUAGCCUACCAGACACCACACUGUGAUAUGCUUCAGAAGUUUGAGGCAACAGCACAGUAAUUCCUCCGAUGUCGCAAGGUGUGGAUUGACUCUCCAUGCACAUUAUUUUGCAGUAGCAAACUAGCAAUAUACUACUACAUCUUUAAUACUCCUUUGGUGCUUUGCAACCUUAUGUGCCUUGUAUCUUGAUAUUUUUACUGUUCUGAUGUAAUAACCAACACUUUAAGGCCUUCUUUCCUACUUCUAUUCAGUCCUUGUUGUGGGUGCACACACAUGGCAAGCGAGUUUUAUGCUUUUCACCCGAAUGUCAAAUUCAGUCUUGAUUGUGAAAGAGAUAUAGUGGAAGAUGUUAUUUCAUGCUAGUUAAUGGACAUCUCCGUCCAACACAUUAAGUAUCUACUGAGUACUUGGCAGUACAUAAUUACGUAGCUACACAACUGAGUAACUGUAACUUGCUCUGACAGCUAGCAGCUUGUAUGGCGGAUCGAUAGGUCAUCAAACAAUCAUCUACACAUCCGGUUUCAUAUGAUUUAGAUUAGUUGUUCUGAUACUAUUAUAUGGAUUUCAGUAUGAAACUUAUAGCCAGGCUAAGCCAUGUAAGCUGCACUAGCACUAAUGAAUGCCUGCCACUUUUCCUAGUUUUGAAGAGUUGCCGAAGUUCUGCAGAUUCUUAGAUUUGUUUGUCAUAACCGUCCUGGCUAGAUUAAUUGAUCUUCCUAUGCUUGGUUUUGUAACCAGUGGCAUGCCAUACGAAGCUGUCAGUUCUAGAUUUUCAGUCUAGCCAUGUAACCAGUGGCAUGCCCAUACGUUCUUGAUAUUUGUUAAGCCUCUUUUUCUGGCUGUAUUUUUUUAUUUUUUUAUUACCUUUAUGUGCGGGAUGGUACAUUUGAGUGUGUGCAUUGGACAGUUGCCUAUGGACGUAACCCCAACACUAGGCAUGUGUAGUGUCAUUAAUGAAUUCAACAGGCAUGUUGUAGCAAUGCAUUAAGUGUUGGUGUAUACAUGCCUCGAUUCUAUCGCUAUUGAGUUUUAAGAAGUGAUUGAAUUAUAUUUCUCUGUUACAAAAUUGACAUCGCUAGUGAUUGCAGAAUAAUGAAUGGGUUUACGCCUAGGCGGGGGACCAAAUGCCUAGGCGAGAGGUUAAUAACUCCUUGAACCGUGAUUUAACAAAUAGAAGAGCCUAUGUUUCAAAGCGGUUUUGUAGCCUUUUUCAGUAAGCAGGUUGAUGGGAUAUCUGCUACUAGUAGGACCUUCAGCUAUGCAAUCCUUGUUACACUCCUAGAUUUAAAUUAUUGAUGAGUUGAUCCCAAGGAUGAUGUCAGGUAGCUUGGCUAAGUUAAAUACCUUAUGCCCUAUUUGUUUGCAUAAUAAACAAGCAAUGCUGAUAUAAAAAUGGUGAACAUAGCUCAGUUCAUGAACUACAUGAAAUUAAUGUGCAGACGAGCAUUCUUUCCAAGCACCACACUCCAAAAACAGCUCGAUGCACUUGCCUUUUUGUAGCUAUCACUGGUUUUCAUAUACUAUGUUAUUUCUAGCCCACAGCUAUUUGUAUAUUUUGUUUUUCUAUAUGCCGACAAAAAUAUCAAGUAAUGUUUGAUACUUUGGUCAUGAAUAUAAGUUACAGCAUAAUUUGGAUAGAUAUCCAUGGGUGAUAUAUCAUCAACAACAAUACAUGAGAAAUGCAAUUUUUAGUUUUUGCUCCCUUAGGUUUUCCCACUUCCUUGUCUGUGGGAAGUAGAAAACCAAAUGCGCUAAACUCAGUUGGAUUCACCAUGUUUCAUUGUCUGUUGGUUAGCCGGCUGGUUAUAGCCAUGGGGUCACACAUCAAUGGUUACCUUCUGACAUGGACGAUGUGUCCCAUUACCUCAUACUGUCUACUAAUUAUUAUUUUUACCAGUAUUGCUCAUUAAUUUGUUGCUGUACAUUUACUCUCACUUGCUCAUUUGGAUUAGUAAGUUUGCACGUGCAUUGCAUGUUGUGUUAAUGGGAGGUGGCCUCUUGCUAAUUGGAUUAGUAAGUCUGCACAGAAAAAUUGGGUGUAUUUGAUCAAAAACUGUCAUGAGCUGUUCAUAACAGAAAAAUCAGCGACAAACCCUAGUAUAGUUUUGGACGGUUUGUUCCUGAAUAUUUGAUGGAUAGGAGUAUGUGCUAGUGGCACUAUGCAUUUUUCUUUAAAAUUACUGGGAAGCAUUGUUUCUUUACAUUUUGUUACGUGACAGUUUGCUGAUACUCCAUUUUAUAGGGUCGCGGCGAAACAGGAACUUUGGUCAUGGUGUAAAAGCUUUCCAAUACUUGCUCCGUUGAUUAUCUGUUUCAAAUUGGAGGCGGAACAAGUUAGUUUGGACUAGUAGUAAAUUUUGUGGAAUAAGUGCAUUCGAUGACUAUACACACCGCCUUGAUGUAUCUUAACAGUGUUAAGGCGUAUGCAGCCGUAACUACUUGAGAGGAUAUGCAAUUUGUUAGUAUGUUUCUUAGGGGCUGAACACAGUGCAGACAUGUGUAUGUAUAUGAAUCAUCUAUAUUUCUUCUGAUGUUAUUGAAGAAUAUAUACCUGACCUAGCAGGCUGUUUUUUUUUUGAAGUGUACUCUAACUGCUUACAAUAGCUUUUAUCUUUCCCAUAUAUAUAUAUAUAUAUAUAUAUAUAUAUAUAUAUAGGGCCGCGCUAUUCAUCACCCUGGGUGAGAAAUUCUUAUUCCUCACCCCAGCCACCCCACGGCCAGAAUUUCAAAACGUAAGAAAUAAAGACACCCGAUGUAAGAUUACAACAGGGAGAAAGAAACGUACUAUGGAGCACUGCCGUAAGAAACAAGGGUUGUGAGGUAAAUUUUCCUCACGCAUGCAAAGUAAGUUACGGCACAUGCAAACAGUGUUUGGAGACUGGACCACUGCCGAAAGAAAACAAUAGGUUUGCGAGGUAAAUUUACCUCGCCGACUAUACUACCUCUAUCUGCACGAGCUCCAUGCAUCGCAAGACCCUUUCUAUCUGCAUCUGAUCGUCUUCUUUAAAAAGAUAUUUUUUGCUUCGAGAAAACAACGAGAUAGUGAUGCAUACUCUCUCCUUUUUACCUCUAUUUUUAUCUAGACCUGUUCAUUAGGCGCCAUGGAUUUGAUGUAGUAAAUUCUCAUUUGGAAAUUUAUUUGGAGGUACCAUUUAUGGAAUUGCAUCCUCGAUUAUUCAAAAGUUAUUUCCUCGACUAGUGACUGAAAUUUCCAACGAUAACCUCCAUUGACUUCUUUAAUAUAUAUAUGGAGUAGUUUUACCUCGAAGCGCCUAGCGCCGAACUAUAUUGAAAUAGAGAGAAUAAUUUAUAGAUCAUCUCUAAGAAACAUGGAGCUAGUAUUUACAGGGUCAGCUCUUGAGAAAAACAGAACUGGAACUCUACUCAUAACCUCAGAGCUGAUUACACAACACUCCAGAGAGAACUCCAAUACAGUCCCAGUCGGGAGAAAGCAACAAAAAUAUGAUUCAGAAAGAAGACAACCCGCCUGCAGCUCUCCUAGAUUGAAACUCCUCUCAGCAUAACUGUGUUGUCAAAGAUCUUUGUGUUUUUCCAUAUUUUCAAAUGUAUUAAUAUCAGUCUACUGUUAUUAGGGUACUUAUAGAUGAGCUACCUACAGUGUAAAAAAUGAUUAGUAUAGGAAGCAAGUUGCAACUGUUCUGGCAUUACACAUCAUUUAUCAAAAAUAUGUUCUCUUUUAGUCUUUCAGAUACCUUUACAGAGACUCAAAUCAUGAAUGCUACGAACGAAAAUAACAGCACGUGAUUCAAGUUAUAAACAAUAUGUUCUCUGACAUGUACCACCUGCUGUAGUAGUGUAGAUUGUAGAAAAUGAGCAGAUAGUAGUACAAUUCAGUUUCUUUCAAAAAUAUUUUGGUUUCAGACCAACAAUUCAAUUAUUUUUUGCAGAAGAAUGGCUUGUCUAAAAACACAGGGUGCUAGGAGCUUGGUGAAUAGGGGGUGCUAUAUCUAAAAUGCGGUGAAUAAAACGGAACAUGCGGUAAGAUAGGAGCUUAGUGAAUCAUUACUGUUGUAAUAAAGGAGCUACAAAAUUCUCAGAUAUAGGUCGGAAUGUUACUGUAAAAAGAUAGUAGAUUAAGGCAAGUAGAUUCAAAGAAAAUGUUUUGAUCGAACUAAAUAUAAAGCUUCUCCCAUUAGGUGGAUUGAUGAUAUUUACUUCAAUCAGAAUUAUCCGAGAGGAUUCAUCCAAAAUUCCAAAUACUACAAGAACUUGUGAUAGGGUGAUUAAUCACAUAAAGCCUAUAUGCACAUGGAAAGAAGUAUGCUCCAGACUGCAAUAUAGCAAAUUCAAUCUCCAUACUCUCAUAGAACUAAUGAUUACAUGUACUACUUUCCAGAAUAGAGUUUAGGCAUGUACGAUAACCAAUCAAGGUUCUUUAUGAAAGACACCAAUCAAGGUUCUGGAGGUGUUGGACAUCUGAUCGAAGCCUGACUACUUUGUUCUCUACGACCUGUUGAACAACGUCAGAUGGAAGAGUUUGCCUACAGAAGUCACACUUUCACGAAGUGUGUACAAAUCUAAAAGACAUAUAAGAUGUGCGAGUACAGUAGCGACAUUUAUCUAACUGACCUUUAAUUUGCCUUUGAUCAGUCCAAACCAAUGGUAUGGCAUGGUACUAGUAGUGCACUACUAAACAACCUACAAUCAAUAGAGCCAGAGAUUUUUUUUCCUAUAAAACCAAUAAAAAGUGCAGGUUUUAAGGAGAAAAAGACUUCUCUCCCAGAUAGAAAAAGAGCGGAGCUCAGUUUCCUCCUCUCCUUUCUGUGAUAAUUUUAAUUAGACCUAUAUGACCUUAAUAGCCCUUGAACACUCAUCAUUACCAUUAUGAGAAGUUCAAUCCUUAUUGUCAGUGUAUGUUCUUUAACACAAUAGCUGGGGUUAAACUAGGUGACUGUUUUUACUGAAUCAAGAACAGUAUUCUGAACGUACUUUAUUUUACUCUCACAAUCUAGGAUUUUUUUAAACAAUUGAUCAAAUACAUUGUCAAGGAGGACCUAAAAAUAAUAUGAAUGAACUUGCUCAGUAAAAUGGCAAGGAUUGCAUCUUACUGGGUAUGCUUUUCUUCUUCCAGAAUACAUCUGCACACUUGCAGGGUGCAAAACUUCACUUGUCUGAAUGGAAAAUACCUCCAGCAGAUUAUUGCACUUGAAAUGAAAAUAGCGAGAAGAGGUUUAUUCAUUGCUUCUAUGGUACGACUAGCAGCUCCUGAAACACAUAAUCAUGCAUCUUCAUUCUGAAGCACAUAAUCAUGCAUCUUCAUUCUGAAACACGUAAUCAUCCAAGGAGUAGCUGUUAGUCACACAAAUGCUAGUGUAACCUCAAGUUCAUUGGAUGUCAUUCUGAAUAAAGAGAAUAGGAGCAUGCCCAGCUAUAUCGUUCUGUCCAGUGUCUAUCAACAGAUCAAAAGUAGCAAUAAAUAGGUACUUAACCAUUCAUUACUCGACUGAAGCACAAUGUAAAAAAAAAUGAUAACCAAACCUGAAAAACUUCAGUGUACUGCAGGUGUAUGUAGUGCUUUCAUAGAGUUGACAAAGAGCUACGAAUGUACCAUGAAUUGGAAAUAGAAAACGUGAUCCUGCAUCCUAAUUUUUUUGUAGUUGCUACCAUAUCUCACUAGUGUUCUGGAUUGCACCUAGAGAAAAGUUCUGAAGCCUUCCACAGAUACCCUCAACAACUUCCGGUCAAAGUGAAAAUCCAUAAUUUUAUGACGACGAUUAAAGUUUAAGAAAAGUCACAUUUGUGUCCUUUAGCAAUAUGAGGUAACCGAAAGGUUCAAAUUUUGAUCAAUUCAAGGUAUGAUCAGCCCCAAUGGCAGUGCUUCGACUAACUGAACUAUCAACAAGGCAAUGAUAUUGUGCAUUGAGAUCACGGUUACUCGGGCUUAAAUGAUUUGUGCUUCUUAUUGGGGUGCCACCCUUCCCGGUUUCUUACUAUGCCUUCUUAUGCAGCAGAGCAGAUUCACAAUGAUUGGAUGGUCAACCUAAUACAGUAGCAACACCCCGAUUCGAUUCUAAGUUUAAAUGGCCGGACAUGGUACUUUUCAGUAGCAGGGGACAGUCCAAUUCAUUCAAAAUAGUGGAGCUCCAAGGAAAAAAGAUGGAGUUUAUUCAUAAUAAAGAAGAAACAUGGCUAUUUAUUAGAACAUGCAACAUAUGGGGACUCUAAACGGAGGAUUCAUCAGACACAAACUGCUGAAUGUAAACUAUUUAUUGAAAAUAGGAGCUUAGUAGGAGGACUGGGAGCAUUUGUAGGCUAGAUCUAAAGAGAAGCUCUUGAUUUGUCCUCAACAUCAAAUCCGGUGAAGGCCCAUACUAAAAUUUGUGCAGCCAAAUUGAAACGAGUAAACUUCAUGUAUGGAUGCAACAACCUGCGCCGAAUCUGAGAAAGGCCAAGACCUAGCACCAUAGCAGCCGCCGCAUCUGGCAAGUCAAUACGCCUAAGUUCCAUAGGGAAAGUAGAAUUCUAGAUUGGGAGAGACGGGAGGAGAAAUACAGGGGCAUAAAUCUUGGCAAUGCAUCAGAGUGUCGAGAGCUCACCGUGACGCCGUCGUAGACCGCUAUUGCCGGCGCAGAGCGGUGCAGCCCCGCAGCACUGCCUUGAGGAACCCAGAGAGUUCACCACACCGCCGAGGCCACCACUGCCACCGAGCACCACGGGAUGAAACUUCAACGCCAUCACCAACCACGGCACCGCCCAAGACCUAGGCAGCUACCCCACCCAUGGCGCCGCCGUGCGCCGCCGAUACUCCCGAUACGGUUCGCAACUCUUCUU
rnacentral:lncRNA from 1 species